GAGGAAACUGGCGAUGCUUCUCAAUUUUUUCCAUUGCAGAAAUGCAUUUUCCUGAAAAACCCUUCAAAAACGCUUAAAUUCUCUUACUCUACCCUUCUCAUUUUAGUUUAUUUCUGUCUCCUCGCAAACCCAGCAGCUGCAGCAACCUCAAUUUCAUCUUCGAAUUUCCUUGCUUAUUAUACCCAACACUGUAAUCAAGUCAUCCCAGAAUCCCCAUCUACUGAAACCCGCAUGAACUUUGCUCUCGGCCAGGACAAAGUCCUUCAUUUUGAUAUUGCUUAUUUCACUGGCGGCCACCAAAUCUUUCCGAAAAAAGCCUUCACUGCCGAUUUGCCUGCCAUUUCGCUCUCCUUCCACCCGAAAAGGAAUACUAUUUCUCUUACGCAGACUCCUCACGUCCUUAAGCUCCAAGCGACUCUCAGAUUCCACCUUCCUGCACACUUUAACCUGACGUGGAAACGCAAUUUGAGGGA
rnacentral:misc_RNA from 1 species